GUUUUAUACAAGUUACGCUCUAUAUCUGAGGUCGAAUUUGUCUCUUUGUUUUCAAAGUGUGCCACAUCAUACAUGUUUGAAAAGCAAGUGAAUAGAAUACAUACAGAUUACAAAAAAACAAAACAAAGAUAGAACAAUACCAUUCCCCCACCCCGCCUGGAUAGCAGAUUGUAAGAAGUACUAGUGUUAAAAAUCACAAGUUAAACAAUUGGGCCAAUAAGUGAAUAUUUGGAAUUAAUAUAAAUUCAUCUCUAUUUGUCCAUUUUUGGGAAAUGAUACUGUCCCUGUAUUUGUUCUGUAUGGCCAUGAAAAAUAAGACUAUGAAUUUAGUUAUUAUGAACAUGUUUGAAGCUGUCUUCUGUGAUGGAAUUUCGGUGAAAUGUAAAUUUAGUAGGCCGAGAUUUCCACGUGGAUAUGUGUAUGUUGUAUCAGUUAGUUAGUUACACGUAGCUAAGAUACUGUCAUCAAUGUACUGAGCAUGUGCAGGAAUGAAGGAACUGAAAUUACACUCCUUUCU